rnacentral:rRNA from 1 species
ACAAUGCAAGUCGAACGCCAGCACGGGAGCAAUCCUGGUGGCGAGUGGCGAACGGGUGAGUAAUAUAUCGGAACGUGCCCAGUCGUGGGGGAUAACGUAGAGAAAUUUACGCUAAUACCGCAUACGAUCUAAGGAUGAAAGCGGGGGAUCGCAAGACCUCGCGCGAUUGGAGCGGCUGAUAUCAGAUUAGGUUGUUGGUGAGGUAAAAGCUCACCAAGCCGACGAUCUGUAGUGGUUUGAGAGAACGACCAGCCACACUGGGACUGAGACACGGCCCAGACUCCUACGGGAGGCAGCAGUGGGGAAUUUUGGACAAUGGGCGAAAGCCUGAUCCAGCAAUGCCGCGUGUGGGAAGAAGGCCUUCGGGUUGUAAACCACUUUUGUACGGAACGAAAAGGUCUGCCCUAAUACGGUGGGCCCAUGACGGUACCGUAAGAAUGAGCACCGGCUAACUACGUGCCAGCAGCCGCGGUAAUACGUAGGGUGCAGCGUUAAUCGGAAUUACUGGGCGUAAAGCGUGCGCAGGCGGUUAUAUAAGACAGUUGUGAAAUCCCCGGGCUCAACCUGGGAAUUGCAUCUGUGACUGCAUAGCUAGAGUACGGUAGAGGGGGAUGGAAUUCCGCGUGUAGCAGUGAAAUGCGUAGAUAUGCGGAGGAACACCGAUGGCGAAGGCAAUCCCCUGGACCUGUACUGACGCUCAUUGCACGA